rnacentral:lncRNA from 1 species
UCUCUAAAGGAAUCACUUUAUUGAAACACUAAAAGUUCAGUUAGAAGAAAGCCCUCUCCUGAUUCUUCCUAAAAAUACGGGAGAAAGGCUAUAGAAGAUAAAAAUUCAAAAAGAAUGGGAUAAAGAGAUUGGUCUAUUUCCAUUAAGAGAGGUUCUCAUAGGAGGGGACGGAUCAGAGUUUGUAAAUGCUCCUUUGACUUCGUCUGAGGUCUGAAAUUUUAAGAAAUAAAUAAAAGGGAUAUUUGGAGAAUCCCAUAGGCAUAGCUGAACAAUUAGACCAACUUUUAGGUCCAAACAUUUAUACUUGAGAAGAGAUGUGGUUGGUAAUGAAAAUAAUAUUUUUCUCAGGAAGAAAAGCAAUUAAUCAGAGCAACUGAAAUAAAAGCUUAAGAAAAAGAUAAUCUGCGGGGACCCCCAGAGAAGACAAAAUGCUAACUGUACCUCCUGAGUGGGGUUAAAAUAAUGAGGAGGGGAGUAAACCCAUGAAUAGUUAUCGUAAUUUCAUAACCAAGAGAAUAAAUGAGACAGCAUAUCAAAGGUGAAAUAUGAAAACAAAAGGUUUUUGAGGGACAGAUUUUAGAGGGGAAAAAAGAACCUCCAACUAAAUAGAUAAACAAACUUGCGAGAAAAAGGAAAAUGGUCCUAAGUAAACAGAAGAUCUGAAAAUCUUUAAAGAAAUGGGCACAUAAAAAAAAAAAAAAAAAAAAAAAAAUCAACAAAGAAGUUUGGACUGGAGAAGGAAACAGGGGAGGAUUAAAUAUCGAUCCCAUAAGGGUUACAAUUGAGAGAGAAGAAAGAGAGAAGUUGAAGUAGAGAGGUAGUUAGGAAACUCUGAGAUGUUAGAAUGUGAAGUGAUGACAUCUUGGUGCUAGAAGAGACCAGAAGUGUGAAUGAAGGUUUUUUGCAUAAAAGGCAGGGAAGUGUCUUAACACAUUGUUGUUAAGAGGUUAUUCAAUGCCACACUGGGGUCCAGAAAAGCCUUAGCAGAACAGGCCCUGCUUGAAGAGGAAAGAGGAUAAGU